UUGUCUUUUUGGAAGACCCAUUUGCGACGGUCCCUUACAGAGUCUUACGUCACUGCUCUCAUCAUUGGACUUCCCGUUCCUGCUGGCACACAGGACAAGUUUUUGUAGCCUGCUUAGCAUUGCUUAUUCUUAUUCUCAUAUGUUCAUCAUUUUAUCCUUUGUCAUUUUACCACGUGUUUUGGGUUUUUCCGCUUUUCUACUGUUUCAUCCGUGUGUAUUUUACCUGUUGCUGCUAGUGCCUAGCUCAAGUCUGUGUUUGUAGCCUGCUAACUUUUUUAGCAUCGCUUAUCUAUCGAUCUGUUUUCAGCUUUUAAUCCUUAACAUCUGCCAUUUUUCAACGCGCAUCCGGCUUUCCCCUGCAUUAGUCUCUUAUCGCGAUUCAACUGCGUGGAUUUUCCACGUGCAUCCACUUUCUAUUUUUAAUCACGAUUAAACUGCACGCAUUUUACAGCACGCACCCGUUUUUCUCCUCGGUGUUACACGGAUUAUUGCAUCGAUCUCAAAGCACCGCUUAUCAAGAACAACCAUGAACAAUUGCAUGAGGGAUUCACAUCGAUCUCAAACCCUCACUGCUCAGGAACAACCAACAACAAUAAACAAUUGUGAACCGGCUGGAUCCAGCUCCACUCCUGCUUCGUGUUGGACUCCAAUGCUACGUGUCUGAGUGAUGACGACUAAAUGCAGCCGGUGCCAGUCAAACAUCACUUCAGUCUAUUACGAUGGACUUCAGAGGAUGAACUGAAGCCAACAUCAUAUGCCAUUGCCUGAACCUUGGAUUUAGGACAGACCUCACCGAAAUUACCGGCCAGUUGAACUGCAAUGCAUCUCACUGAUCUCUGCCUGCAUCACCUCAAUUUAAUGAUGGACUACACUCUUAUAAUGGAAUACACAGACUAUCAAUUAAUUGCCAACAAAUCCCUUCAUUAGCCAACUAACAAAGGACAAUGCAUCUAUGUGAACUUCUGCAGUUAAUCCAGGAUGAACUUCAAAGACAUUAGUAAUUAAUCUUACCAUUCUUACAAAAUCUUUGUUUAAACACUGACCCUUAACACUUACUUAGUUUAAUAAUUUUAAACCAUGACUGCACUAUACAUAAUUAAGUAAUAUUGGCAUUAUAUUCAUGAUGUUAGCCAGAGGGGAACUGGCCCCACAGUGAGCCUGGAUUCUCCCAAGGUUAUUUUUCUCCAUUAACCAACAUCUUAUGGAGUUUUGUGUUCCUUGCCACAGUCGCCUUCGGCUUGCUUACUGGGUUUCUAAAUACAAUUAUUAUUUAAUUACUUAGUUGUAAACACAAUUCACAAUCGUAUUUUAUCAAACUACACAAUGAUGACUGACAUUACAGAUAUUACGGUUUCAUUUUCUGUUAAUGCAUGAUUUUCUGUAAAGCUGCUUUGAAACGAUGUGUGUUGUGAAAGGCGCUAUACAAAUAAAAAUGACUUGACCGA